rnacentral:rRNA from 1 species
AAGAAAGAUUAAUACCGGAUGGUCCCGCAUGGGUAAAGAAUUUCGGUUGUCGAUGGGGAUGCGUUCCAUUAGGCAGUUGGCGGGGUAACGGCCCACCAAACCUACGAUGGAUAGGGGUUCUGAGAGGAAGGUCCCCCACAUUGGAACUGAGACACGGUCCAAACUCUACGGGAGGCAGCAGUGAGGAAUAUUGGUCAAUGGACGAGAGUCUGAACCAGCCAAGUAGCGUGAAGGAUGACUGCCUAUGGGUUGUAAACUUCUUUUAUACGGGAAUAAGUGAGCCACGUGUGGCUUUUUGUAUGUACCGUAUGAAUAAGGAUCGGCUAACUCCGUGCCAGCAGCCGCGGUAAUACGGAGGAUCCGAGCGUUAUCCGGAUUUAUUGGGUUUAAAGGGAGCGUAGGCGGGUUGUUAAGUCAGUUGUGAAAGUUUGCGGCUCAACCGUAAAAUUGCAGUUGAUACUGGCGACCUUGAGUGCAACAGAGGUAGGCGGAAUUCGUGGUGUAGCGGUGAAAUGCUUAGAUAUCACGAAGAACUCCGAUUGCGAAGGCAGCUUACUGGAUUGU